rnacentral:siRNA from 1 species
CAGAUAAGAGAUGGUUGUAGUA